rnacentral:tRNA from 1 species
AGCUUGUUAGUUUAUAAAAAAAAUUUUUGUUUGUGGUACAAAAGAAUUAUUAGCUA